rnacentral:tRNA from 1 species
GCCUGGGUGGCUCAGUCGGUUAAGCGUCCGACUUCGGCUCAGGUCAUGAUCUCGCGGUCUGUGGGUUCGAGCCCCACGUCGGGCU